UGGCUUGUGUCUCGGACCGGCGGUCGGAGUCUCGAACCGGUGGUUCGUGUCUCAGCCCGGCGGUAGGUGUCUCGACCCGGUGGUUUGUGAUUUUAUCCGACAAGUUCUCCGCUCGUUUAUGUUAGGAUCGGUUCAAAUCGGGUGAAGGCUCAGGUCACGUCCCGUGGUUCAAGUCCAGACAACAGUGGUUAAUCAACAAGCUUCGUUCGGGUCAACAAUAGUCAACAGUUUGGUUCGCUUCGGUCAGAUUCAGUUUCGGUUGACUCGGUCAAGCGGGUCAACUCAGCGAGUCGACUCGGUCAAACCGAGUCAACUCAGUCAAACCCGGUCAACAACAGUAAACGUCGGUCAACUCAGUCCAUGUUCGACGACUCGGCGAGAGUUGUGGUAAUGGUUUAAAGUCGUGAUUUCGUUACGUUAUCUUUAUAAUUUUGUUUACGCGUGACAAACGAGCUCUUGAACCGAAUGAUAAAAUCGUAUAUAUAGUUUGCGGUUUCAUAUAUUAUCUUGUCUUAUAACUUGAGUUAUUAUAAAUAUUUGUUUGAAAA